rnacentral:rRNA from 1 species
UACGAAGGGGGCUAGCGUUGCUCGGAAUCACUGGGCGUAAAGGGUGCGUAGGCGGGUCUUUAAGUCAGGGGUGAAAUCCUGGAGCUCAACUCCAGAACUGCCUUUGAUACUGAGGAUCUUGAGUUCGGGAGAGGUGAGUGGAACUGCGAGUGUAGAGGUGAAAUUCGUAGAUAUUCGCAAGAACACCAGUGGCGAAGGCGGGUCUCUGGGCCGAUACUGACACUGAGGAGCGAAAGCGUGGGGAGCGAACAGG